UGAGGAAUAUUGGUCAAUGGACGAGAGUCUGAACCAGCCAAGUAGCGUGCAGGAUGACGGCCCUAUGGGUUGUAAACUGCUUUUGUUUGGGAAUAAUCGACAUUACGUGUAAUGUUUUGCAUGUACCAUUCGAAUAAGGACCGGCUAAUUCCGUGCCAGCAGCCGCGGUAAUACGGAAGGUCCAGGCGUUAUCCGGAUUUAUUGGGUUUAAAGGGAGCGUAGGCCGCGUUUUAAGCGUGUUGUGAAAUGUAGACGCCCAACGUCUGCAUCGCAGCGCGAACUGGGACGCUUGAGUACGCGCAACGUUGGCGGAAUUCGUCGUGUAGCGGUGAAAUGCUUAGAUAUGACGAGGAACUCCGAUUGCGAAGGCAGCUGACGGGAGCGGCACUGACGCUUAAGCUCGAAGGUGCGGGUAUCAAACAGG
rnacentral:rRNA from 1 species